AGCUUUGCGCAGUGGCAGUAUCGUAGCCAAUGAGGCUUAUCCGAGGCGCGAUUAUUGCUAAUUAAAAAGUAAUCUAUAGCUGGAUGAGAGGUAAAGUAGCCAUGUUAGGACUUCCAGAUGGA
ensembl:snRNA U4 U4 spliceosomal RNA